AAUGGAUGGGUGUUUGGUUUUGAUGAAAAGUAAAUUAAACUUAAUUAAAUUACAGAAUUGAUAAAAACAUAAAAUUAAGGUAAAAUGAUAAAUGACGGACUAGCUAGAGGGUUCUUCUCCACACAUUACACAUAUGCAACCUAAAUUGAUUUUCAGUUGUUCUUUCAAUAAAUUGUGAAUCUCAAUACUCCAGAUUAACCGUGAACAGCACUUUUUUAAUCUUCAAGUUUCCUUAAGUUAUUGAAUUGGACGGAAAAACGCAUACAACAAUUCAAAACAUUCUUCAAAAGUCUCCUACGUGAAAAGCACAAUAGCGAUACAAUCAAAGAUCAUUAAACUUUGUGAAAACUAUAAGCAUUGACGAGGCAUUCGUAACUAUGAAAAGCAUGAUACUCUUGCCAAGAAUUUACUUAACGUGAUUGUGACUAGCAACCUUUACUACUUGUGAAAAUAAGUUCAUAACGAUUAGGUGAAAUUCACUUAUAUUCUAGCAUCAAAUUCAUGCAUGUAAAUUAAGCGUGCACUCUCAACCAACAUACACAAAUCAGUUUUUAUACGAACGGAUAAGUAAAUUGAAAUCACAACUUAUGAAAUCACAACCGAAGGUAAUCAAUUCAUAUUACAAAUAUAUUCAUGAUUUCGAAUUAACCUCUAGCCAAAAUAAGUUUAAUUACACAUUAUUAAAAACAGAAAUAAAAGAGAAGUUUGGAAAAAUUAAACCGAAAGAGGAUCUGCUGCGUUCGUGCCCACACUGUGUCUUCCCUUCCUCAAGCUGCAAGGGCAGCACUCUCCUGCGUUUCUUGUCACGCUGCACACUGGCAGCUCUCCUCUCUCUAGCUCUCGCUGACUCCCUUCUCGAGCUGCCCAAAGGGCAGCUCCCCCUUUUCCUUAAUUCCCCCCCAAGACCGCCCACUUCUCUCUUCUGCCAAUCCCGUAUAUAUCCUCAUGCUCCUGACCUCCUCCUUAUUUCUUUUUUUUUCUAUUUUCUGUCAGUGCCCUCUCCACGCUGUCUAUCCUCUCCCUUCCGUUAAUCUCUUUCAUUCCUUCUUUCCUCAUUAUUUCUCUCCCCCGCGUGCUGCUGUCUUUCUUUUAUUUUAUUUCUUUCUUAGCUGUCUCCUGCUUUCUGCUGCAAAGACAGCUUCUCCAAUUCCUCCAGCUGGACUCUCCCCUUUAUUCUUCUUUCAUCUAUUUUUUAUUCCUUUUCUUUUUUUAUUCCUUUCUUUUCUUCUUCUCCAUCCGUUCAUUUCUUUUCUUCUACAAAACAAAACCAUCAUGAUGAUGUUUCAAACAUCAUCAUGACUUAUCAUUAUUAUAUAUAUAUUUUUUAAUUUAAUUUAAAAGCUGAUCUACAAAGACAGUUUUAACGAAUUUAUUACAUAAAAUUUCACUUGUUCUAUUUUUAUUUUCUUUGCAUAACAAAUCCUAUAAACACAAAAAUAACGUAAAUAGCUAAAAAAUAUAAGGAACUAACUAAGAAAAGACGAGUGAAUUUGAAGUAAAAAUAUAUAUAAAUAUGAUCCGAUCAAAUACCCCCAUACUUAGCUUUUGCUAGUCCUCGAGCAAAACAAAGAAAACAUGAGAAAGAACUAACAUGAAAAACAUUAGUUUCCCCCUAUGUGACCUUCAUAGAAUUUCAUUCGAGAAAACAAAUCAUCAAGAACCAUAGCUAGCAUCAAGGAACUAAUCCAAGUUCAUCUUCCUAAUUCAAAUAUUAGCAGUAAUCUUUGAAUCAUCCUUGAAGUGUAGUGUGUGAGAUAGCCAUGCUAAUGCAAUUUCAAGUUUUUAUUUUUAAAAUCAUCAUAUGCAAACUAGCGACUUUCUCACGGGAUAUGCACUCAAUCACACAUGUGUUUAGUUUUAAUGUGUUUCGCUCAAAGAAACAAAUGUGAAAUUUCUACCAUAAGCUUGCAUAAAGAUCACUUCUCCACAGUCAUAAUUGCAAAACUUAAAUCAAGAGGACUUUUAUUGGAUGUAAUGAGGCUUAGGGAUAGGGUUAUUGAAAUGAAAGAAUAGGAAAACACAAGUUCCAAGCUAUAUUGCAAGCAAUUCUUUUGUUUAGAUUUAUAAGAACUCAAUUUUCCAGCGAUUCUUCUGAUACCUCCAAUCACACCCUUAAACUGAAACUUUAAAAACUUUUUAUUUUCUUUGUAUACAAUCUUUCUUUUCUUUUUUUUUUCUUUUUUUUUUUUAAAUACAAACAUGAAAUACCCCCACACUUAUUCUUUUGCCCAAACAUCUUCACAAUACUUCACAAACGUUUCUCAUAAGACAAUCUCGCAUUGCUCGCUUGGAAAAGGGUAAGGAAAAAUGUUUCAAGUAUAAGGGUAGACAUAUCUGGUGAUAAGAAAUAAAAGGCUCAACAUACACGGCUCAAAUUGGCAAUCUAAUGAUAUCAUUUUUUUUUUUUGGGAAACAUGGUUAUUUGGGCCAUAGUGGUAAACCUAAUGCCUCUAUCAUUUCCAAGUUCAUGCAAUCAAUGACAAACAUUUCGAAAGAUCGUUACGCAAGUUCUAGAGAUGUAUCUCACAUAAGUUCAUCACACAUGAAAGAAUAGGAGUGUAUGAAAAAUGCACACACUUUCAAUAGGCUCAAAAACUCACAUAGGAAUUAUAUAUGGUCACUAAAUUCACAUAUGAAGCUUUAAGUCAUGCUUUAGUUUCACAUUAACAAGGCUAUGUGCAUUUGGUUUUUCAAAGAUGGUCAAACAUGUACAAAACUAACAAGAGAAUUAGGAAUUUCACAAAACACAUGUUAACUAAGUUCUUGAUGAUCGUGAUUCAAAUUUGAUCUAAUUAUAUCAUUGGGUCGGGAAACUAACAAAAAUCUAAUUCAAAACAAUAAGGGAAACAAGACAAUAUUUUUGGAUUUUUAAAUUUUCCGAAAUUUUUUUUAAUUUUUUUUUUUUUUUUAAAGAAAACAAAACUAAUUAAGAACACACAAAAAAACAACAACACAGAGACAAAUGAAAUUCUGGAGAUUUCUACCCCCACACUUAAACUUGACAUUGUCCCCAAUGUCAGAAAACACUAUAAUGCAAAAAUAAAUAAAAUAAACAAAAUAAUAAAAAAAAAAAAAAUAAAGCAAUUGGACUGAAAACUUCCCUAAUUUGCAGUAAAAUCAAGCGAUGACCCCCAAGCUAAAAUUCUGCAAUCAACUUCAAGGGUGGAAAUAACCAAAAGUUCCUGCAAAGAAAAGAAAUAAUUCAGUUAAGUACGCAAGAAAAUUAAUUAAAAAAAAAUUGCAAACGAAAAAUUGAAAAUUACGAUAAAAGAUAAUGAAUAAAACUAAUAAGUAAUCAUUGGUCGUGCUUGUUGACUUUCCACAGCUUUCCUCUUGAACAGGGUGACACUUAGCUUUUCACUUGCAAGUGAUGAUUUUUAUGAUAUUGUACGGCGAAGCUUUGCUCUUUGGUUAUGUUGCAGUUCCUUAUUUGUUAUCCAAGCAGAUGUGGCAGCUUCUCUAGUUCCUCAGUUCGGACUCCUUCCGCUGGGAUGAUUGUGCAAGCUGCAUUCUUCUCUGCUUGUUUCUUCUGCACAACGGGCAGGCACGAGGGAAAGGUGUUGGUCCUUAUUUCUUUCUUCAAUCUUUCCAAGUGCCCACCUCUUGCUUUCUUUCUCCUUGUCUCUAGCUGAAUUGUCUCCACAUGCUUCGAGGUAUCAUUUUCACUUCCCUUACUGUCCCCCAGGCAGAUGUGGUAGACGAAGAGAAAGCAUAAAAUGAUGAAGAUGAGUACUCGAGAGCAAGGCUAGGUAAGCAAUCAGGAAGGGGUUCCAGGCAGUUGGCUCCAGAUCGGAAGAUUGAUACCAAAUGCUGGCUGAUUGCUCUCUUUCUCCUUAUCGGAAAACAAAGACAAGGAGAAGGACAUGGAGAAAGCAUGAUAUGAGAUACUCUUGCUUUCAACCUUUAUGAUAUGAAAUACUUUUGCUUUGAAUGGGUUUGUUCGCAGGAGUAUCCCAAGGAAUGAGGAACACAGAGUGACUCGAGAGGAUUCUUUGGGAAUGCAUUUUCGGAGAUGAAGAGGUGUUGAGAGGGUGUGCUGAGAGAGUGUGCUUUUGCUGUGGAAGGCGAAGGUAGAAACUUAUAGGACUUGUCUUCACAACCGGAACUGUUCUCUCACUUAGUGUCGGCAGCCGGUGGAUGGGUGAAGAAUACAAAUUACGCGCUUUCUGACAAAGCUGCCCGUAAUUUCCGCAAAGCUGCCAGUUGCAUGUGACAAGUGCUGACUAGGCUGAGAGAGACAGAUGGUUGGAAUCGGCACUUCGACAGAUUGCCCGUGAUUUUCGCAGAGCUGAGUUUGCGUGUGACGGGUGACAACACGUCUGGACGAAUUGAUCUUGCGAAAUCCGGGGUUCGGCUCGUGGUUUCUGAGCAAGCCCAACUUUUAAGAAAUGAACGCCUCUUUUUGAGAAAAAGAAUCCGGCUUUUGAGAACGGAAACUCCUCUUUUGAGAAAAGAAUCCGGCUUUUGAGAAAGGAGCCCCGACUCUUCGAUUUGCGAGAGGACGCAUCUCUGAGGAGCGCCUCUUUGAUUUCUUCUUUUUAUAGAGGCGUUAAUUUUGUUCCACAACACACUUGAGUACCCUCCUGUAAACACUCCCUUCUUGCACUUGUUUUAAUCUUGAUCAUUCCGACUCUCUUCUUUUCUUUACCACCUCUGAAAAAUGUCUGGCCCUUCUGAUCGUCGUUUUGACUUGAACAUUGGUGAAGAGGCAGCUCCGCCUUCACCAGACAACAUAUGGCGGCCAUCCUUCAUAUCCCCUACCGGUCCCCUUACCGUGGGGGAUUCGAUGAUGAAAAAAAUGACAUGACCGCUGCGGUGGUGGCCCGAAACCUUGUCACUCCCAGAGAUAACAGACUGCUCGCAAGGCGGUCUGAUGAAUUGGCGGUCAAGGAGUCUCUGGCUCUCAGUGUGCAGUGUGCGGGUUCCGUAUCCAACAUGGCCCAACGCCUAUAUGCCCGAACCCGUCACGUUGAAUCCUUGGUGGCUGAAAUACAGAGUCUCAAGCAAGAGAUUAAAGGGCUCAAGCAUGAGAAUAAGGAAUUGCACAAGCUCGCACACAGCUAUGCCACCAGCAUGAAGAGGAAGAUUGACCAGAUGCAGGACACCGAUGGUCAAAUUUUACUUGAUCAUCGGAGGUUUGUGGGUUUGUUCCAACAACAUCUGCCUUCGUCUUCUGGAGCGGCACCGCGUAGUGAAGCUCCAACUGAUCAACCUCUGCCGCCUCCUCCUUCUGUGGUCCCGCCGACUGCUGAAGCCCCGCCUACUACUGAAGCACCACCCGACCAAUGAAUACUAUUAGUUUACAUCAUUGUAAAAUAUUUGUACUUUUUUUAUUAUUAUUAUUUAUUUAUUUUUUUUUUUUAUUUUUAUUUUUUUUAUGUACUUUUUUUUUUAUCAUUAAUUUUAAAUUUUAUCUUUUUUUUUUUUUUUUUUUAUUAUAUCAUUUUUUUUAAAUUUUUUUUUUUUUAUUUUUUUAUUUUAUGUAAAUUAAAGUAGAAAGACUUUGGUUAACCUUCCCCCAUACUUAAACUAAAUAACACAAACUCACAGAAAUCAAACAAAUAACACAACUAACUAAACAAAACAAAAUGAAAGCAGUAAAGAUAAGGGUGUAAAAAUGCAAAUCUGAUUGGGUUAGCGAUUCCAAAGUCUCCCUUCGUUGAAUGCUUGGGUUGCCUCCCAAGAAGCGCUUGAUUUAACGUCUUUAGCCGGACGCAUCUUUCCUUUAAAUUUCCCUCAGCUCCAUUUGUGCCUAAAAUCAAAGAAAGAAAAAUAAAUCAAAUAUCAAAAGUAAAAUACACAAACACCAAUAUAAACAUAAACAAAAACAAAAAUAAAAGGAUUAGCAAAGUUACUAAUCCCCGGCAACGGCGCCAAAAUUUGAUGCGUGAAAUUACUUGACACACAAAUUAAACCCUCUUUUUGACAAUUGUAGUAUAGAUGUAAGUAGGGUAUCGUUCUAGGCCGGGGAUUAGGAGGGAUUGCUAAUCUAUUAAAUUAACUUAAAAAUAUUAAAUAAGACUCAAGGACACAAAACUAGGCUAAAAACUCUAAUAACUCGAAACACACUUAAAAUGAUUCAAAAUAAUGAAAACAAUCAAAUUAAACACUAGGACUGAAAUGGACGGAAAUUAAAUUAAAAGACUAACAAUAAAGAAAACUAACUAAAUAAUAUAAUUUAAUAAUGGAUGGGUGUUUGGUUUUGAUGAAAAGUAAAUUAAACUUAAUUAAAUUACAGAAUUGAUAAAAACAUAAAAUUAAGGUAAAAUGAUAAAUGACGGACUAGCUAGAGGGUUCUUCUCCACACAUUACACAUAUGCAACCUAAAUUGAUUUUCAGUUGUUCUUUCAAUAAAUUGUGAAUCUCAAUACUCCAGAUUAACCGUGAACAGCACUUUUUUAAUCUUCAAGUUUUCCUUAAGUUAUUGAAUUGGACGGAAAAACGCAUACAACAAUUCAAAACAUUCUUCAAAAGUCUCCUACGUGAAAAGCACAAUAGCGAUACAAUCAAAGAUCAUUAAACUUUGUGAAAACUAUAAGCAUUGACGAGGCAUUCGUAACUAUGAAAAGCAUGAUACUCUUGCCAAGAAUUUACUUAACG
rnacentral:lncRNA from 1 species